rnacentral:rRNA from 1 species
CCUACGGGUGGCUGCAGUGGGGAAUAUUGGACAAUGGGCGAAAGCCUGAUCCAGCCAUGCCGCGUGUGUGAAGAAGGCCUUCGGGUUGUAAAGCACUUUCAGUGGGGAAGAAAGCCUUGGGGCUAAUACCCUCGAGGAAGGACAUCACCCACAGAAGAAGCACCGGCUAACUCCGUGCCAGCAGCCGCGGUAAUAUGGAGGGUGCGAGCGUUAAUCGGAAUUACUGGGCGUAAAGCGCGCGUAGGCGGUCUGAUAAGCCGGUUGUGAAAGCCCCGGGCUCAACCUGGGAACGGCAUCCGGAACUGUCAGGCUAGAGUGCAGGAGAGGAAGGUAGAAUUCCCGGUGUAGCGGUGAAAUGCGUAGAGAUCGGGAGGAAUACCAGUGGCGAAGGCGGCCUUCUGGACUGACACUGACGCUGAGGUGCGAAAGCGUGGGUAGCAAACAGGAUUAGAUACCCCUGUAGUC